rnacentral:lncRNA from 1 species
UUUACUUUUUUUUUUCCCUACCAGGAAGAAUGCUCCAUUACAUUGUGCUUUGCCUCUCUCUCUCUCUCUCUCUCUCUCUCUCUCUCUCUCUCUCUCUCUCUCUCUCUCAGAAGAUCAGUAACAAUGUUAUUUUCUGAUCAGUUCAGUAAUACAAUGCCCUCUGAUGUUCACACCAGCAUCUCACUGGAGAAGAAAAGAAUGUUGUUGGCUACCUGGGACCAGAAGACUUCUUAGUGAAUCCUGCAAUGGACUGACCUCAUCUUCCCGAGGCUGUGAUGUUUCAGGAGAGUUUCACUAUUGCUGACCAACUGAGACCACCAGGAGCUCCUAAGUGCAAAGAAUGGCUACAUCUUUUCUUCUGGAUACCACCAGAUCAUUCCAGCCACCUGCCUUUGUGGUGUCUCCAGACAAGGGCUGACAACCAUCGAAGCAUCGAAACCCUAAGGCUACUUGGAGAGAAGAAGACUGUCCCUGGAGAAGGAUAUGAAUCAGAGAGAAAGAAGUAAAAUCUUGUCCUAGGAAGAAAGGGAGCGAUUGGCAGAAGACUUGUCUCUGGUAAGGCAAUUUACACACUUGUCUUUUAAGGGGUGAGUCACCAUCUAUGAUACAUUUCCCAGCAAUGUCUAAGAGUUUCCAAAUCUGGAGUUCACACUCGAGCCAGAUAAGGGAGAGGAGAAAGGGUCUUAUAAUUCACCUAGUUACCACUCAGAGCCCUAAAAGGGAGCUCAAUGGAAAUGCGUCUCCUACAGCCCUUCUUUUAGUCACUAAGACGAAGAAUUAGCUAAUCAUGUUCAAAUUUACCACUUUCCAAUAGCAAGCAUUAGCAUUCCAGGAAAAAAAUAAGCCACCCGAAAUCUCUCCAUCAAUCUUCAUUUAUUUAUUUUUUAGCUAUGAUUUUUAUGCUAGCAUGCAUCUUUUUAUUCAUUGCUUAGGCUAAGUUUAUCUUAUAGCGACACUGUAAACUUUUAAAAAAUGACCAAGGCCUGUUUUUUCCUAAUAAAAAUUUGACUUUAAAAAAGUUGUCUUAUGCCCAGUUCAUCCAGAUUACAGGGUAUUGGGGACUUCUAUCCUGAAAGUGUUUCUUGGCUAUUCUAAUAAUAGAAUAAAAAACACUAAUAUCUUGCCAUCUUCACUGGGGUAUGUUCAGGACUUGGCGUCAUUCAUGGUACGAGCUUAAGAUGUUAGUUGAAUGAAUGAAUAUGGCUCUCAUAUGUAUAGGUUUUAAUAAUCUUUGGUGAGCCUUCAUUUCCUCAGAAACCCUGUCUGGGUGGUUACAUCUUUAUCUACUUCCCAUCCCCACAAAAA